GGGAAGGCUGUCUGCAUCAUGACUGUCAAUGGAACUGAUUGGCUUCUUUGAGCUAUGUUGUUGGCACAUGCGUCUGUGUGAACAUUUGUGAAAACAUGAACUUCUGGGGUAACUGGACUUCCAAAGGGGGUCACAUUAGAUCGUGGGAUAUUAGAUACUGGAUAGAGGGUGCUUCCACUAAGAUUACGUUGGCGAUGAACAGCAGGGCUCACACUCCGGCAUCUGAAGUUGCUGCUGGCAGAUGAAUUAGUUCCUUUAUUAUCAAGAGGGGCAGGGACUGCAAAACCCUCCUGUUUGUUGGUGUUAUUUACAGUGGCACCUUGAUGCUGCACAGGAGAGACAGGAGUCAAACGACCAAAACACUACUGCUGCAGUUAGAAUGUGGAGUACCAAUGGGUGUAUGUCGGCUACUUCCUAAAGCACUAUCCACAGGUGUAGUCUGGGCUAGCCUGGAGCAAGGGCUCUCCCGUGACAGACUCUGAGAUCCAGCAAUCAUUUCAGAUGCAGAGGUAACUGAUCUGAAGAAUGUGCUUGUAUUUGAU
rnacentral:lncRNA from 1 species